rnacentral:lncRNA from 1 species
CCACUUUUCAUCAACCAAAUGAGUCCUAAAAUACCCUUUGUCUACUUGCGCGGGGUACAUAUAGAAAAACCCUCAACAGUAUAUCUUAGUUCCAGUUUUACUUGACCCAUGAUAUCUUUCUCUUCAUUUUUUGAUGAUAUACUGGACCCAUGAUAUCAGGAAGUCAUCAUCCUAUUAUCUGCAUGAUGCAUCCCAAGCUAAACCUAUAGGUCCUCUAAUUCUUGGAG